rnacentral:lncRNA from 1 species
GGAAUGGCGAUUACUACUGAGCUAAUUCUGCUGUUACCAUAUUAUGUGAAAGGUCAAAGAGAAACAGUCUUCCAGAAAAUAUGCAUAAAAGAAAGGACCUUACAAGACAACUUGCAUGGAUACUCUGAAGCAACUUUGAGGUCUCCUUGAUGAGGAAAGUUGGCUCAACCUGCUGUAGAGUAGGCCCACAGCCAAGCCAUUGAGAGACAAGUCCAUGGGAGACAAAUUAGCUCAUGCAGCUGAGAUGUCCUGGAGAUUUUCCACAGCACCACUUGGCCAGUGCCUGGACAAGGUCUCAGUUUCUGAUCCUCUUGGGCAGAAGCAGGUCUUCUACUAUAUUAUCUGAAGCCGUGUUGCCGCCUGGACCCAAGGCCACUGUGCCCAGCCUUUGUGCUCCCUGGAUCUCCUCCAGGAGCACCCUCACCCACUGUGCAAAAGGCUGUGCAAAGUAGGUAAGAGUGCCCAGA